rnacentral:tRNA from 1 species
GGGGAUAUAACUCAGUGGCAAAGUGCCUGCCUGGCAGUGUGAGGUCCUGAGUUCAAUUCUAGGUACCCCCA